ACGAACGCUGGCGGCGUGCUUAAUACAUGCAAGUCGAGCGAGGUUACUGUUUUGGAUCCCUUCGGGGUGAAGAAGCUUUAACCUAGCGGCGGACGGGUGAGUAACGCGUGGGUAACCUACCCCAAAGUCCGGGAUAACAGCGGGAAACCGCUGCUAAUACCGGAUGCCUUUACCUUGGGGCAUCUUGAGGUAAAGAAAGGUAACGCUUUGGGAUGGGCCCGCGUCCCAUUAGCUAGUUGGUGAGGUAACGGCUCACCAAGGCGACGAUGGGUAGCCGGCCUGAGAGGGUGGACGGCCACACUGGGACUGAGACACGGCCCAGACUCCUACGGGAGGCAGCAGUAGGGAAUAUUGCGCAAUGGACGGAAGUCUGACGCAGCGACGCCGCGUGAGCGAUGAAGGUCUUCGGAUCGUAAAGCUCUGUCCUUGGGGAAGAAGGUCUUCGGACUUGACGGUACCCAAGAAGAAAGCCCCGGCUAACUACGUGCCAGCAGCCGCGGUAAUACGUAGGGGGCGAGCGUUGUCCGGAAUUACUGGGCGUAAGGGGUGCGUAGGCGGCCCUUUAAGUCGGAUGUGAAAGCCCGCGGCUUAACCGCGGAAUGGCAUUCGAAACUGGAGGGCUUGAGUGUCGGAGAGGGUAGUGGAAUUCCCAGUGUAGCGGUGAAAUGCGUAGAUUUUGGGAGGAACACCAGUGGCGAAGGCGACUACCUGGACGAUAACUGACGCUGAGGCACGAAAGCUAGGGGAGCAAACAGG
rnacentral:rRNA from 1 species